UGUUUAUGAUUCUUGGCCCUAGAUGUGUAUUAGAAUCACUUGUUGCCGGGCGUAGUGGCUCAUGCCUGUAAUCCCAACACUUGGGAGGCUGAGAUGGGAGGAUCACUUGAGCUGAGUUCAAGACCAGCCUGGGCAACACAGAUAAACCUCAUCUCUACUAACAUUAAAAAAAAAAAAAAAAUCAGCUGGGUUUGGUAGCACAUCCCUGUAGUCCCACCUACUUGGGAGGGGUGGGCUGAGAUGGGAGGAUAACU
rnacentral:lncRNA from 10 species